rnacentral:rRNA from 1 species
UCAAGAGUACGUGAAACUGCUUAGAGGUUAAACCCGAUGAACCUGAAUAUCCGUUAUGGAAAAUUCAUCAUUAGUAAUAUGAUAUAUUAAAAAUAUUGUAUGAAUAGUGUGCAAUUUUUCCAUAUAAGGACAUUGUAAUCUGUUAAUGUAAUAAAUAUUUAUCAAAAGGUCCUUAACUUAAGUUUAUUCAAAUUAAUUAUUUUUACGGAUUUUUAACAUAGAAUAAAUGUUUUGGAUUUGAUAAAUCAUUGACAGAUAUAAUUAUAUAAUGUGCUUAAAUUCCAAGGAAUUUUAUCAAUGGUAGAUAAAUCUAUUGAUUUGUUUAUUUAUUGUAUGCACUAUUAUGAUUAACAAUGCGAUAGAUUCAGGAUACCUUCGGGACCCGUCUUGAAACACGGACCAAGGAGUCUAACAUAUGUGCAAGUCAUUGGGUAUUUUUAAUAAAACCCAAUGGCAUAAUUAACUUAACUGUUUAAUGGGAUGAGUAAAUUAAUUUAAAUAAAUAAAUAUAUUCAAUCCCGGGGCGUUCUAUAUAGUUAUGUAUAAUGAUAUUUAUAUUAUUUAUACCUCUAACUAGGGCGUACCUUGAGCAUAUAUGCUGUGACCCGAA